UGAAUAAUCAAUACUAGCAAA
rnacentral:piRNA from 1 species